rnacentral:rRNA from 4 species
CGACGUUGAUAGGCCGGGUGUGUAAGCGCAGCGAUGCGUUGAGCUAACCGGUACUAAUGAACCGUGAGGCUUAACCUU